rnacentral:tRNA from 1 species
GCCGUCUUAGCUCAGCUGGUAGAGCAACGCCAUGGUAAGGCGUAGGUCUCGGGUUCAAUUCCCGAAGACGGCUCCA